rnacentral:rRNA from 1 species
GAUGAACGCUGGCGGCGUGCCUAAUACAUGCAAGUCGAGCGAACAGACGAGGAGCUUGCUCCUUCGACGUUAGCGGCGGACGGGUGAGUAACACGUAGGUAACCUACCUAUAAGACUGGGAUAACUUCGGGAAACCGGAGCUAAUACCGGAUAAUAUUUCGAACCGCAUGGUUCGAUAGUGAAAGAUGGCUUUGCUAUCACUUAUAGAUGGACCUGCGCCGUAUUAGCUAGUUGGUAAGGUAACGGCUUACCAAGGCAACGAUACGUAGCCGACCUGACAGGGUGAUCGGCCACACUGGAACUGAAACACGGUCCAGCCUCCUACGGGAGGCAGCAGUAGGCAAUCUUCCGCACUGGGCGAAAGCCUGACGGAGCAACGCCGCGUGAGUGAUGAAGGUCUUCGGAUCGUAAAACUCUGUUAUUAGGAAAGAACAAACGUGUAAGUAACUGUGCACGUCUUGACGGUACCUAAUCAGAAAGCCACGGCUAACUACGUG